GAAUUUUAUAUAAAUUUUAUUAAUAAAAAUAAUAUGAAAAUUAUUAGAAUUUAUAUUUGAUUGGGAGGAUUAUUAAAUUUUAGGAACUUUAAUAAAAUAAGACAUUGAUUUAUGAUUUUUUAAAUUUAAUUGAUUAAGAUUUAUGAAUAAUUUUAUUAAAAAAUUAAUUACCUUAGGGAUAACAGCGUAAUAUUUUUAGAAAGAUCUUAUUGAUAAGAAUGAUUGC
rnacentral:rRNA from 1 species